UGCCUUCAAACGAAGGACAGGGGGCUGGAGAGAUGGCUCAGAGGUUAAGAGCACUGACUGCUCUUCCAGAGGUCCCAAGUUCAAUUCCCAGCAACCACAUGG
rnacentral:miRNA from 1 species